rnacentral:rRNA from 1 species
CACAUGCAAGUCGAGGGGCAUCAGGACCUUAGCUUGCUUUCUUUGCUGGCGACCGGCGCACGGGUGAGUAACACGUAUCCAACCUGCCCUUUACUCGGGGAUAGCCUUUCGAAAGAAAGAUUAAUACCCGAUAGCAUAAUGAUUCCGCAUGGUUUCAUUAUUAAAGGAUUCCGGUAAAGGAUGGGGAUGCGUUCCAUUAGGUUGUUGGUGGGGUAACGGCCCACCAAGCCUUCGAUGGAUAGGGGUUCUGAGAGGAAGGUCCCCCACAUUGGAACUGAGACACGGUCCAAACUCCUACGGGAGGCAGCAGUGAGGAAUAUUGGUCAAUGGGCGCUAGCCUGAACCAGCCAAGUAGCGUGAAGGAUGAAGGCUCUAUGGGUCGUAAACUUCUUUUAUAUAAGAAUAAAGUGCAGUAUGUAUACUGUUUUGUAUGUAUUAUAUGAAUAAGGAUCGGCUAACUCCGUGCCAGCAGCCGCGGUAAUACGGAGGAUCCGAGCGUUAUCCGGAUUUAUUGGGUUUAAAGGGAGCGUAGGUGGACUGGUAAGUCAGUUGUGAAAGUUUGCGGCUCAACCGUAAAAUUGCAGUUGAUACUGUCAGUCUUGAGUACAGUAGAGGUGGGCGGAAUUCGUGGUGUAGCGGUGAAAUGCUUAGAUAUCACGAAGAACUCCGAUUGCGAAGGCAGCUCACUGGACUGCAACUGACACUGAUGCUCGAAAGUGUGGGUAUCAAACAGGAUUAGAUACCCUGGUAGUCCACACAGUAAACGAUGAAUACUCGCUGUUUGCGAUAUACAGUAAGCGGCCAAGCGAAAGCAUUAAGUAUUCCACCUGGGGAGUACGCCGGCAACGGUGAAACUCAAAGGAAUUGACGGGGGCCCGCACAAGCGGAGGAACAUGUGGUUUAAUUCGAUGAUACGCGAGGAACCUUACCCGGGCUUAAAUUGCAGUGGAAUGAUGUGGAAACAUGUCAGUGAGCAAUCACCGCUGUGAAGGUGCUGCAUGGUUGUCGUCAGCUCGUGCCGUGAGGUGUCGGCUUAAGUGCCAUAACGAGCGCAACCCUUAUCUUUAGUUACUAACAGGUCAUGCUGAGGACUCUAGAGAGACUGCCGUCGUAAGAUGUGAGGAAGGUGGGGAUGACGUCAAAUCAGCACGGCCCUUACGUCCGGGGCUACACACGUGUUACAAUGGGGGGUACAGAAGGCAGCUAGCGGGUGACCGUAUGCUAAUCCCAAAAGCCUCUCUCAGUUCGGAUCGAAGUCUGCAACCCGACUUCGUGAAGCUGGAUUCGCUAGUAAUCGCGCAUCAGCCACGGCGCGGUGAAUACGUUCCCGGGCCUUGUACACACCGCCCGUCAAGCCAUGGGAGCCGGGGGUACCUGAAGUACGUAACCGCAAGGAUCGUCCUAGGGUAAAACUGGUGACUGGGGCUAAG